rnacentral:rRNA from 1 species
AGCGAACGUUUGCGGCGGGCUUAACACAUGCAAGUCGAACGAGAAUCCCUUCGGGGAGGAAAGUGGCGCACGGGUGCGUAACACGUGGAUAACCAACCCAUUGGUUUGGGACAACACCGGGAAACUGGUGCUAAUACCAGAUGUGUCGCAGCUGUCUUCAGGCGGUUGCGAGAAAGGCCCGCAAGGGUCGCCAACGGACGGGUCCGCGUCCCAUCAGCUAGUUGGUGAGGUAAUGGCUCACCAAGGCAAAGACGGGUAGCUGGUCUGAGAGGAUGAUCAGCCACACUGGAACUGAGACACGGUCCAGACUCCUACGGGAGGCAGCAGUGGGGAAUAUUGCGCAAUGGGCGAAAGCCUGACGCAGCCACGCCGCGUGAGCGAUGAAGGUCUUCGGAUCGUAAAGCUCUGUGGGGGGAGAAGAAGAAAGCCGGUGAAGAGCCGGCCCUGACGGUAUCCCCUUAGCAAGCGCCGGCUAACUCCGUGCCAGCAGCCGCGGUAAAG